rnacentral:tRNA from 1 species
GGCGGUGUGGUGGAAUGGUAGACACGAGCGACUUAAAAUCGCUUUCCUGACCGAGUGCGGGUUCGAGUCCCGCCACCGCUACCA